AUGGAUCUAACAGAGGAAAGGCAGACAAAGAAAAUGGUCCUUGAAAAACGUACCUCAUCCAUUGAGCGGUUGCUGGGCCUAACAACAGAACACCUUCCAGAUUUUGCCAUUCACAUGUUUAAUGUCAAGAACCAAUAUUUGUCAUUAAAAGCAAUGAAAGAUACCCUGACAGAUGAUGCUGUUGCUGUGCAUGUAGAUUACAGCGAAAAUUACAGCUGCAAAUAUGCCAAAGAAAUCAAGGAUACCCAUUUUGGAACUGGGAAUGAUCAGGUAACCCUCCACACCAGGGUACUCUAUCUCAGUAGGGGCAGAGUGGAAGCCUUUGCAUCCCUCUCAUCAUCUCUACAGCACGAUGCAGUGGCAACCAGGGCUCAUCUUGACCCAGUGCUGAGAUACAUACGAGGAAAGUAUCCUGAAGUCCACAACCUACAUUUCAUUUCAGAUGGCCCAACUUCCCAGUAUAGAAACAAAACAUCUUUCUAUCUAGCCUCCACUGUGCCCUUUAUGCAUGGAUUUGAAUGGGUGACCUGGAACUAUACUGAGGCAUCACAUGGCAAAGGUACACCAGAUGGAGUUGGUGGGGCCUUGAAGAAUCUUGCGGACAGAAUCGUUUCUUAUGGGACCAGUAUUCCUGAUGCAGACUCUCUGUAUGAGCAGCUGAAGAACAAUUCAUCAGUGACUCUGUACAAAGUAUCAGAGGAGAAAAUAAAGGCCAGCCGCGAAUUGGUUCCCCCCAACCUGAAAGCAGUUCCUGGGACACUGAAAAUACACCAACUGACAUCCACAAAACCAGGAGUCAAAAAUACACGGGAGGGGUCAUGCUUCUGUGGAAAAAAUUGCCAGUGCUUUUCUACAAAUUGCCACAUGUUCUCUGAGGGAAAAGAUGAGGACCCUGACAGAACAGAGGUCAUCAUAGAGGUUGGAGAGUGGGUCCUGGUUGAAUACGAUGGUGACUUGUUCCCUGGUACAGUCACACAGGUGAAUUUAAUUUCAAGAUUUCUGUUAAUGUGUGAAUAUUUCUCAGUUACAUUAUAUUAUAGUACAUGCGGUCCAGCCAAAAUGUGUAGAGGCUAUACAAAUGUUUUUAAACCGAUUGCUGAAGGGCAGUAUGAAGUCGACACCAUGAAUUGUGCAGGGGAGAACCGCUUCUACGUACCAAGCAUCAGAUUUCCAGGAGAAAGGGUCUGGUACUAUCGUCAGGACAUACGGGACAUAAUCCCAGAACCACUUCCUGUCACCUCCUCUGCUAGACAUUUCUGCAUUUUACCUGACAUAUGGGCCAAACACAAGAAAUGCUCAUGAAUGAGUUACAGUUGAGGGAAAACAUGAUUGGUACAGAGCAGUCGUUCCAGUUGUUUGUCUUAGUUGUUUGACCAACUCAUAAAUUGAGUUCUGCUAUUCAAGUUCUUCACAUGAAAUUAUUCUCAGAAAAAGGUUGUGUGGUUCAAUGUCAGGACCAAAGUGUUUUAGCUAAACUAAAUUCUUUUUACAAGAGCACAUGAUGCUGUUACAUUUAAAUGUUUCUCAGGACCACAUGAUGAUAUGUUACAUUGAAAAAGUUCUCAUCACAUGGUUGUAUGUAACUAGAAUGAUAAAAUGUAUACUAAUGGUUGUAUAAUUAUUAGUACUACAGUGUAGGGUACAUGACAUGAUUCUUAAGAAGAGCAUAAGAU
rnacentral:lncRNA from 1 species